rnacentral:rRNA from 1 species
CGGGUGGGGAAUGGAAGGAUAACGUACCCGGGACUCGGGGAUAGCGGCAGGGGCAACCCUUUGCGAAAGCGCCGGUAAUACCCGAUGACCCCGCGAGGUCGCAUGGCCUUGCGGGCAAAGCUCCGACGGUCCCGGAUCGGUCCUUUCCCUAUCAGCUAGUUGGUGAGGUAACGGCUCACCAAGGCUUCGACGGGUACCGGGUGUGAGAGCAUGACCCGGCACAUCGGAACUGAGGCACUGUCCGGACACCUACGGGUGGCUGCAGCAACGAAUCUUCCGCAAUGGGCGCAAGCCUGACGGAGCGACGCCGCGUGCAGGAGGAAGUCCUUCGGGAUGUAAACUGCUGUCAGGGGUCAGAAACACAAUGAUCGGCCCCGGAGGAAGCCCCGGCUAACUUCGUGCCAGCAGCCGCGGUAAUACGUAGGGGGCAAGCGUUGAUCGGAAUCACUGGGCUUACAGCGCGUGUAGGCGGGGCGGCAGGUCUUCUGUGAAAGCCCCCGGCUCAACCGGGGAAUUGCAGGGGAAACCGCCGCUCUUGAGGCAGGUAGAGGUGACCGGAACGUGUGGUGGAGCGGUGAAAUGCGUAGAUAUCACACGGAACGCCGGUGGUGAAAACGGGUCACUGGGCCUGUCCUGACGCUGAGACGCGAGAGCGUGGGGGAGCAAACAGGAUUAGAUACCCUGGUAGUCCACGCUGUAAACGAUGUGCACUAGGUACGAGAGAGUCUGACCUCGAUCGUGCCGUAGGAAAACUGCUAAGUGCACCGCCUGGGGAGUACGGCCGCAAGGAUAAAACUCAAAGGAAUUGACGGGGGCUCACACAAGCGGUGGAGUAUGUGGAUUAAUUCGAAGCAACGCGAAG